GGGUAGCACCGUUUACAUCCAGAAUUUGCAGUUAUUAUAUUCUGUAGCCAUGGAAACAGACAGUGCUAAAAAUGGAGCAGAGCCUCAGUAAGGUGAAGAGACGCAGCAGCAGUGCUCCCAGACUGUGUUCUUGCAGCACUGCCAGAUGGACUGUGCUCCAUGCUUCCUGUGUUCUCCCGCACCCUGAAUCUGAGCACUAUGAUUUCAGGGGAGAAGGACAAUGCUGAAGGGCCAACUUGUUCUGCAGGAAGAGGGGGAGAAGACAUGGACAAAUGAAGAGGAAACAGGAGGAGAAAGGGCAGAGGUAAGAGGUUGCUAAAGAGAGAAAGUGGCUGUAAGAUUGUGAAUAUCACUUUGUGAAUGUAACAGAGACAGCAGCCAGUUAUCUUAGCAGCCUUUCAGAUACUCUGUCAAGGCUGAAAGAGUCUGAGACUCUGGAAUCGGUAACUGUCUCCCUUGUGGCCAGUCUCUUUUUUCUGCAGUGAAAAUAACUUCCCAGGCAAACAAUGGCCUUUCCUAUGGGAAGAACUGACAUCAGUUAGUAUGUUAUACCCUCUGUGACCAUAGUUGGGAUCCACAGCAUGCCUUUGCAGCUUGAAGAUGGUUUGUAUUCUACACACAAAAAUACCUAUCAAGUGAAAAAUGAUUUCACAUGGAGACAGAUAUUCAAAAUGUACUCUAUGUGAGUGGGAGAGAGAAAGCCCAAGGGAAGAAACAACUUCUUGUAAAACAUAGCUAAAAGAUCUGACAAAAAGUGAGGGAGAACCAAGCAAAGCAAGAUGAACGUCUGAGUGGGUUUGCCUAGCUGGGAGAACAGAACACACUGUGCUGCGCUGGGGCAGUGACUGCUCACAGAAACCAAACCUAAGCUGGAUCAAACUGAUAAGCCCUGUAAAGGUGUAAGGAGGUAGUAGAAUUUAUAUCCUCAGGCAUUUGGCCCACAAAGCAUAGCUCCUUCCUUUUAGAUACAUUUAUAAUAAAUGCCCAUUCAGAUUCUAUUAGAGUUUGGGCAUAAACUGUGCAAAACCCCUACUGUCCCUUUUGAAAAUUUAUUUCAAUGUCCUUAUGCGUGAUUUAUAUCAAUGUAAAUUGGACCUCAUCCAAAGUAUAACUAUAUCUAAUUAUCAGCCAUUUGAGCUACUUCUGUAUUAAACUAUAUACUUGACAUAGCACUGAAGCCUCUUAUGAGUCCAAAUGCCACAUACAGCAAUAGCAUAAAUAAAACUGUAAAAUACAAGCAAAAUGAAGAUUUACUUAGAAAAUAUAUAAUGUAAUUUGUGCUUAUGGGUAAAUUGAUUCCUGGCUGCCCAGGAUAGGGAAGGUAUGACCUGCAUCAGGCUGAAGUAUAUGUCUUUGGAGCCUGCAUCUGCAUUAUUAUUACAGAA